GAUGAACGCUGGCGGCGUGCCUAAUACAUGCAAGUCGAGCGAACGGACGAGAAGCUUGCUUCUCUGAUGUUAGCGGCGGGCGGGUGAGUAACACGUGGAUAACCUACCUAUAAGACUGGGAUAACUUCGGGAAACCGGAGCUAAUACCGGAUGAUAUUUUGAACCGCAUGGUUCAAAAGUGAAAGACGGUCUUGCUGUCACUUAUAGAUGGAUCCGCGCUGCAUUAGCUAGUUGGUAAGGUAACGGCUUACCAAGGCAACGAUGCAUAGCCGACCUGAGAGGGUGAUCGGCCACACUGGAACUGAGACACGGUCCAGACUCCUACGGAAGGCAGCAGUAGGGAAUCUUCCGCAAUGGGCGAAAGCCUGACGGAGCAACGCCGCGUGAGUGAUGAAGGUCUUCGGAUCGUAAAACUCUGUUAUUAGGGAAGAACAUAUGUGUAAGUAACUGUGCACAUCUUGACGGUACCUAAUCAGAAAGCCACGGCUAACUACGUG
rnacentral:rRNA from 1 species